rnacentral:rRNA from 1 species
UACGUAGGGUGCAAGCGUUAAUCGGAAUUGCUGGGCGUAAAGCGUGCGCAGGCGGUUUUGUAAGUCUGAUGUGAAAUCCCCGGGCUCAACCUGGGAAUUGCAUUGGAGACUGCAAGGCUAGAAUCUGGCAGAGGGGGGUAGAAUUCCACGUGUAGCAGUGAAAUGCGUAGAGAUGUGGAGGAACACCGAUGGCGAAGGCAGCCCCCUGGGUCAAGAUUGACGCUCAUGCACGAAAGCGUGGGGAGCAAACAGG